rnacentral:rRNA from 1 species
UACAGAGGGUGCAAGCGUUGUUCGGAAUUACUGGGCGUAAAGCGUGCGCAGGCGGCGCGUUAAGACAGGUGUGAAAGCCCCGAGCUUAACUUGGGAAUUGCGCUUGUGACUGGCGUGCUGGAGUGUGGCAGAGGGAGGUGGAAUUCCACGUGUAGCAGUGAAAUGCGUAGAGAUGUGGAGGAACACCGAUGGCGAAGGCAGCCUCCUGGGCCAGCACUGACGCUCAUGCACGAAAGCGUGGGGAGCAAACAGG